UGGUUGAGUGUUGACCCAGGAAGGUUUUUUUUUAAUAACCUUUUCCAACUUUGGAUAUUUGGGAGAAUAAAGAAGACCACACUCUACAGUGGGCUGGAUCACUAAGCAUAGAGUUCACUACUAUUUGUGGCCUACAGU